rnacentral:rRNA from 1 species
UCUUCGGAGAAGAGCGGCGGACGGGUGAGUAACGCGUGGGUAACCUGCCUCAUACACAUGGAUAACAUACCGAAAGGUAUGCUAAUACAGGAUAACAUAAGAGAUUCGCAUGUUUCUCUUAUCAAAGCUCCGGCGGUAUGAGAUGGACCCGCGUCUGAUUAGCUAGUUGGUAAGGUAAUGGCUUACCAAGGCAACGAUCAGUAGCCGACCUGAGAGGGUGAUCGGCCACAUUGGAACUGAGACACGGUCCAAACUCCUACGGGAGGCAGCAGUGGGGAAUAUUGCACAAUGGGCGAAAGCCUGAUGCAGCAACGCCGCGUGAGUGAUGAAGGCCUUCGGGUCGUAAAACUCUGUCCUCAAGGAAGAUAAUGACGGUACUUGAGGAGGAAGCCCCGGCUAACUACGUGCCAGCAGCCGCGGUAAUACGUAGGGGGCUAGCGUUAUCCGGAUUUACUGGGCGUAAAGGGUGCGUAGGUGGUUUCUUAAGUCAGGAGUGAAAGGCUACGGCUUAACCGUAGUAAGCUCUUGAAACUGGGAAACUUGAGUGCAGGAGAGGAAAGUGGAAUUCCUAGUGUAGCGGUGAAAUGCGUAGAUAUUAGGAGGAACACCAGUAGCGAAGGCGGCUUUCUGGACUGU